rnacentral:rRNA from 1 species
GGGCGUGGCGGUCCGCCGCGAGGCGUGCCACCGUCUGUCCCGUACACCUGCCUCCCGGCGCUCCCCGGAUGCCCUUAGCUGGGUGUCCGACGGGGCCCGGAGCGUUUACUUUGAAAAAAUUAGAGUUGUUCAAAGCAGGCCGCAGCACGCCUGAAUACCGCAGCUAGGAAUAAUGGAAUAGGACUCCGGUUCUAUUUUGUGGGUUUUCGGAACCAGGGCCAUGAUUAAGAGGGACAGCCGGGGGCCUUCGUAUUGCGCCGCUAGAGGUGAAAUUUUUGGACCGGCGCAAGACGGACGAAAGGGAAAGCAUUUGCCAAGAAUGUUUUCAUUAAUCAAGAACGAAAGUUGGAGGUUUGAAGAAGAUCAGAUACUGUUGUAGUUCCGACCGUAAACGAUGCCGACCCCCGAUCCGGCGGCGUUAUUCCCAUGACCCGCCGGGCAGCGUGCGGGAAACCACGAGUCUUUGGGU